rnacentral:rRNA from 1 species
GACGAACGCUGGCGGCGUGCUUAACACAUGCAAGUCGAACGGAAAGGCCCUGCUUUUGUGGGGUGCUCGAGUGGCGAACGGGUGAGUAACACGUGAGUAACCUGCCCUUGACUUUGGGAUAACUUCAGGAAACUGGGGCUAAUACCGGAUAGGAGCUCCUGCUGCAUGGUGGGGGUUGGAAAGUUUCGGCGGUUGGGGAUGGACUCGCGGCUUAUCAGCUUGUUGGUGGGGUAGUUGCUUACCAAGGCUUUGACGGGUAGCCGGCCUGAGAGGGUGAACGGCCACAUUGGGACUGAGAUACGGCCCAGACUCCUACGGGAGGCAGCAGUGGGGAAUAUUGCACAAUGGGCGGAAGCCUGAUGCAGCAACGCCGCGUGCGGGAUGACGGCCUUCGGGUUGUAAACCGCUUUCGCCUGUGACGAAGCGUGAGUGACGGUAAUGGGUAAAGAAGCACCGGCUAACUACGUG